rnacentral:misc_RNA from 1 species
GUUUGAAUCCGCCCUCUCGAAAGACGCCGCCGUCCUUGACAAAUUCCCCAAAAUCAAAGCCUGUCGUCAGAAGGUACAAGAGUGCAAGAAAAUGAAAGAGUACUUGGCCAAAAGAAAAAAUACACCUUUCUGAGAACAUUUUUCUAGUCAGCUGGUCUUGAAAAUAAAAUCCAGAAAAAUAUUCUGCAGGGAAGAUCUGACGCGGAUUCGCAUAGUUUAACCUUUGCAAAUGGGAUAAGAGGGAAAAACACAACGCGGGUUAUACCUUUACGUCUGAGUCUCAUAUACUCAUGAAUUUUUAGAGACAUACAUGUGUACUUUCAUGGCAUUUUAUUUGUCGACAUUCCGUUUAUUUUUUAUUUCUAUAUCUAAUAAAUAUAUGAAUAUG